GAACACUUGCUGGCUGGGGGAGCCCUGCAGGGAAGAUGAGGCAUCAGGGGACUGAAGUCUGCCAGCAGGGAUCGGGCUUGUGAUUACAUUCCAUGGGUGGCCCCCUGGUGACAUUAGAUCAGGGGCUGCCCUGUGUAGAGAGCUGGUGUUUUUUGGGACACAGUGGUGGCUUGCGAAUGGCUGUGGGCGCAGAGGCUGCAGCGAGCAUGUUUCAUUUUGCCACACGGGGGAAUGCUCUUCCUACACCAGGUGCCUUCUGUGGGCCUAAAUAUUUCAGUGGCAGGCAG
rnacentral:lncRNA from 1 species